rnacentral:rRNA from 1 species
GAACGCGAAGAACCUUACCAGGUCUUGACAUUGAUGGACGAAACAAGAGAUUGUUUUUCUCUUUCGGGAGCCAGAAAACAGGUGGUGCACGGCUGUCGUCAGCUCGUGUCGUGAGAUGUUGGGUUAAGUCCCGCAACGAGCGCAACCCCUAUCUUAUGUUGCCAGCACUUCGGGUGGGAACUCAUGAGAGACUGCCGCAGACAAUGCGGAGGAAGGCGGGGAUGACGUCAAGUCAUCAUGCCCCUUAUGACCUGGGCUACACACGUACUACAAUGGGCUUUAAUAGAGGGAAGCGAAGCCGCGAGGUGGAGCAAACCCCAGAAACAAGCUCUCAGUUCGGAUCGUAGGCUGCAACUCGCCUACGUGAAGUCGGAAUCGCUAGUAAUCGCAGGUCAGCAUACUGCGGUGAAUACGUUCCCGGGUCUUGUACACACC